rnacentral:lncRNA from 1 species
CCUGCUAACACUGGAUCUCUGGCUUCUGGGAUCCAAAACGGCCGAAUCAGGAUGUUGACCUUGGCCACAUCAAUGUCAUAGAGCUUCUUCACAGCCUGUUUAAUCUGGUGCUUGUUGGCUUUAACAUCCACAAUGAACACAAGUGUGUUGUUGUCUUCUAUCUUCUUCAUGGCAGACUCAGUGGUCAGCGGAAACUUGAUGAUAGCAUAGUGGUCAAGCUUGUUUCUCCUGGGAGCGCUCUUCCGAGGAUAUUUGGGCUGUCUCCGGAGUCGCAGUGUCUUCGGCCGCCGGAAGGAAGAAGAGUAAGGGGGAAUGUGUGGAAGUACCCAACAUGGAUGGGGAGAGCUGGAAACGUCUGCCUGCUCUGAGCUGUGUUGGAAACCUGAG